UACGGAGGGGGGCUAGCGUUGUUCGGAAUUACUGGGCGUAAAGCGCACGUAGGCGGCUUUGUAAGUUAGAGGUGAAAGCCCGGGGCUCAACUCCGGAAUUGCCUUUAAGACUGCAUCGCUAGAACGUCGGAGAGGUAAGUGGAAUUCCGAGUGUAGAGGUGAAAUUCGUAGAUAUUCGGAAGAACACCAGUGGCGAAGGCGACUUACUGGACGACUGUUGACGCUGAGGUGCGAAAGCGUGGGGAGCAAACAGG
rnacentral:rRNA from 1 species